rnacentral:rRNA from 1 species
CCCUUAGAUGUCCUGGGCCGCACGCGCGCUACACUGAUGCAUUCAACGAGUAUUUCCUUGGCCGAGAGGCCUGGGCAAUCUUUUAAACCUGCAUCGUGAUAGGGAUAGAUUAUUGCAAUUAUUAAUCUUGAACGAGGAAUUCCUAGUAAGCGCAAAUCAUCAAUUUGCAUUGAUUACGUCCCUGCCCUUUGUACACACCGCCCGUCGCACCUACCGAUUGAAUGGUCCGGUGAAAUCUCGGGAUUGUGGCCAGUUCACUUUAUUGGGAGUUGGCUGCGAGAACUUGCUUAAACCUUAUCAUUUAGAGGAAGGUGAAGUCGUAACA